rnacentral:lncRNA from 1 species
CUCUCAAACAUCUAGGCAGAGUACCAACAAUUAUAUUUCACGGAAUGCUAUUUUAAUUUUAUUUACUCAAAACUAAAAAUUUAAAAAAAAAAAUUUAUGCAAAAAAAUGGUAAAAUAAUAUAAUUAAUGUUACACAUCAACAUACAUAUAUAUGAAUUAUGAAUGUACACAUUAUUCUAGAAAUGAGAUAUAUGCAGAUGAUGGUAAAAUAUGAAUUUAAAGAUCAUGCUCUCAAAUAUAAAGAGACCACAUGAACUUUCUAACAUUUAAGCAAACUUUGGGUGCAAGUAUGUAUAUUUAAAAUCUCAUUUUAUUGACCAUUAUUAUUAAUUCUUAAAUUUAUUUUUUUAAGUUAAUGAAAUAUAUGAAAAUUCUUAAUAAAAUAAUAUUUUCUAAAUAUCCCAUCAUCCAGGCACCAUUUGGGAAUAGAUUAUUUUAUAAAAAGAUUCUCAUAUAAAUCCUUAAAAAUUUUGGUAUUUUGGAUAGAUUAAGAUUUCGAACUUGACCCAAAGUUUGGGGCUUCACCUAGGAUUUUGGGGUUUGUUUAAGAUUUAAGGUUUUACCUAGGGUUUUACAAAUUUGAAAACUUCUCUAAAUCUCCAACAUCUAGGUAAACUUUCAGAGCAAACUUAUUUUUAUAAUUUUUUCAAAAAAUGUAUUUUUUUAUAUUUUUUUAUAUUUUCUUUUUUCUUAAAAAUUAUUGCUAUUAUUUUAAUGUUAUUAUUAUUUAUUUAUUUCUCUUUUGUUUAAUAGCCAACAACAGGUCAUUAAUGGGUUUUAAGGAAUGGGCCUUUUGUUGGCCCUUAAAUCAGGCAAUUUAGGAUAUUCUUCAAGCCCACGCAACAAGCCUCCCUCUGGGGCCUUAUCCUCAAGCAUUUAAAAGUGGCCAUAAAUUGAACUCAAAAAAUGAAGAUCGGGCCCAAUUGCAAAAGUAAGUUCGAAUUACGAAAAAAAGUAUCACAGACAAAAUUAAAUGUCUAUAAAUAUACAUGACAAUGCAAGCAAAAAGAAUAUUAAGAGAGAUGUUGUGAUAGGUUACAAAAAAAAAGAAAAAUAUUUUAUGUAUAUUGGAUAGUUUAUUUAAUAAGGAGAAGGGCAAUAUCAUUGACGCCACAUAAAAUUAGCCCAAAUGGUUAAAACCUUUGACUUACUUAAUGACUUACAUUACAAUAUAUAAUCCUAUGAGAGAUGAUACUUGAAUACUUAUUACUCUAUUACUUGAUUGAUCUGUGCACUUGCAAUUAUUGUGAAAAUAGGUUAUCAUAUACAUUAUGCUUCACUAUUUUUACUAUCAAAUAUAAAUUACUCUCAAUUUAAAAUAUUAUUCUUAAUUUUAUUUUAAUAAAUUAAUCAUUCAAAAGUUAUAAGCAUUCCAUCAUUAAUUUUCAUACCUAUCUUAUACAAGUAAGAGUUUCUGCCCGUAUAUUUAACUGCUCUAACUUGUUACCCUUACACUAAGACGCUUCCCUCCAAUUCUUUUAGCCCAAAAAUGCUACCAUUGUUAUUCUUUUACGAUAAAGAAAUGUAAUCUCCUCUAGGUUUUCUCUCUUAUAUUUUUCUGCCUAAGGUUUUCUAGUAGGAAUUUUGCCUUGCUACGGUAAGUUUUUGUUCUCUUUGUUUAGUGUAUUUUGUUUUUUCACGCAUAUGACGGAUAAUCUUGAGGAGAUUGUUGGCAGAUCGGAGGUUUACUGCGUCAAUCAACUCCAUGUGCUUGAACUUCAGUAUUAAAAGGUUCGACUUAGAUGUGUGAGUCUAUGAUAGACUUCGUGUGCUUGAACUUCGGUAUUAAAAAGUUUGACUUAAAUUGAACAAAGGGAUUCGCAAAUAAAAGUGCCAAUGCUACAACCAGCCCAUAAAUUGUUAAAGCUUCCAUAAAAGCCAAACUAAGCAAUAAAGUACCUCGUAUUUUUCCCUCUGCCUCGGGUUGUCUCGCGAUACCUUCUACAGCUUGGCCCGCAGCAGUACCUUGACAACUCCAGGUCCAAUAGAAGCAAGCCCGACAGCCAACCCAGCAACAAUAAUGGAAGCAGUAGAAACCAGUGGAUUCAUGAUAAGUUCCUCGCACCAAAAUAAAGAAAUGGUUAAUGAUACAAUCAUCCAAUGAAUUUUUACUUAAUUAUAUUAUUCCAUCACUAAGAUUCAACCUGCCCAAGUAACUAAGAACUCCGAAUGGAAGUGAGAAUAUUAUUGAACCGUCAGAACUAUUUCGAUAUCUUUUUUUUAGUUCCUAUCCACUGGAUUUUUUUGAAUCCGCGCAUACUUUGUUCUUCCAUUUCUUUUUUUCUAACCCAUUCUUUGCUUUGAAUUCUUCGUUUUGUCUUUAUUUUAUCUCUUUAUUCAUUCAAUUCGGCGAGUUUAAGUCCCAGUGGUAUUGCUGGAGGGAGAUUGUUGGUAGAUCAAAGGUUGGCUGCGUCCAUCAACUCCACGUGCUUGAACUUCGAUAUUAAAAGGUUCGACUUAGAUGCGCGAGUCUAUGAUGGACUCCAUGUGCUUGAACUUCGGUAUUAAAAGGUUCAACUUAAAUGCUCGAGUCUAUAAUAAUAUGCAGAAGCAGAAUACCCAAGUGAGUGAUGUGUUGAGUCAACUUGGAGUGCAAGCUUGAGGGAACACCUAGAGUUUAAGUUUUUGAGCUCAAGUGAUGUCUAACAUGUAUGUAUGGGGUCUUUGGUAUGCUCCCAUGAGUUCCAAAUAUGGUUUAUCUCCCAAGGACAUCCUAAGCAGUUCAUGAACUAACCAGGUUGGUUAGGGAGAACAAACUGCAAAUACUUUUCCUUUUGGAAACUAAAAAAAAAAGUAACGAGAUUGAUUAGCUAAGGUCCAAGUUAGGUUAUGAUGGUUCAAUAGCAGUAGACACUGAAGGUAGGAAGGGCAGACUGGCUCUUAUGGGUGCAUAAUAUGGAUGUCACGUUGCUUUCUUUACCAACGUCCCUUAUUGAUGUCAAAAUCAAGGGGACAAUGACAUGGAGGAAUAGAGGUUCACUGGGCUUUAUAGAAGACCUGAAACAUAUAGAAGGGUGGAAUAUUGGGAUCUAUUAAAAAUGCUCAGGGAUAGAAGCUUUUCACCAUGGCUAUGUGUAAGAGAUUUCAAUGAGUUACUAGCAGAAGAUGAGAAACAAGGAGGAAGACAAAGACCUAUGUGCUAGAUGGAUAACUUUAGAGGGGUUGUUGUUAUCUGUGGUUUCCUUAAGAUUCCUGUAGUAGGAUCAAAGUUUACUUAGACUAGAAGGGUGGAUUCGGAGGUAAUUCUUAAAAGGUUGGAUCGUGGUUUAUGUAACAUUCAAUUCUUAACCAUGUUUCCUUCACUGUUGGAGAGACAUCUAUUGUCAACAACCUCAGACCACUCGCCAUUACUCUUUCUUUCAGAUCAGUCCAAUAGGAACAUUGGGAGAGGUAAGUGGACAUUCCGUUUUGAGAACAUGUGGGUUGACCGUGCCGAGUAUGAAGAGAUUAUUGAUAAAGAGUGGUAACAAGGACAUCCAACAAGCAUAGCUGAAUUGCGUGAGAUGGUGAACGGGUAUGGGAAGAGGUUACAUACUUGGAGUCAAAGAUGUUUUGGUGAUUUGAAGAUUCAGAUAAAACCAAAAAAAAGGACAUGGAACAUCUAUGUCAGGACACAAUCAGAUUUGAACAACACCAUAAGGAAUUAACUAAUCUUCUACGCCAAGAGUAGGUCAUAUGGCGCCAACGAUCAAAAGAGCUGUGACUCAGAGACGAAGACAGAAUACAAAAUAUUUCCACAGGGUGGCAUCGAGAAGGAGGACCGAUACUAUUACUAGAAUCCAGGAUGAGUCUGAGAACAAGCAUGAAGAAAAGGACGAGGUUGAAUCAAUAUUUUUGCACUACUUUGAGACCUUGUUCUGAUCAACAAGAGAGGAGUACGAUCCCUUGAUAGCUUUUGUGAUGUGGUUGUUGUUAGGGUCACGAACGAGAUGAAUAGUGACUUGGAUGUGAUCUUCUCGAAAACUGAGGAAAAAGAAGCAUUGAACCAGAUGAAUCCAGGCAAGGCAUCUGGUCCAAAUGGGAUGACUGCAAUGUUCUUUCAAAAAUAUUGGCAUAUCUUGGGGAAGGAUAUCCCAAGUAUUAUCCUGGAAGGCCUGAACUUGGUAUUGAUACCUAAGGUCAAAGCCCCAUCUACUGUCAAGGACUACAAACCUAUCAGCUUGUGUAAUGUGGUUUACAAAAUAAUUUUAAAAGUGCUUGCCAAUAGGUUGAAUAAGGUCCUUCCGAAGAUCAUUAGCGAGAAUCAAAGUGCUUUUGUGCCAGUUCGAACCAUUUUUUUUACAAUGCCAUGGUUGCCUAGGUAACCAUACACUAUAUAAGGAACAAACGAAAAGGGCGAGGCACUCAUAUGGCAAUAAAACUAGACAUGAGAAAGGCUUAUGAUAGGGUUGAGCGGCAAUACCUAGAGGAAAUAAUGAGGAUGGGUUUCUCUAAAAGAUGGAUUACUUUGAUUAUGACGUGUGUAAUUACAGUUACAUAUUCAGUUUUGAUUAACGAUCAACAAUGUGCUAGGAUUUUUCCAUCACGGGGACUUAGAUAAGGAGAUCCUAUUUCGUCAUACCUAUUUUUCCGAUGUGUUGAAGGGCUUUCUAGCCAUUUAUAUAAAGCUGAAAGUGAAGAAAGAUUGAGAGGUGUUGCGAUUCGGACAACUGGACCUUGAGUAUCCCAUCUUCUAUUUGCAGAUGAUAGCUUAUUAUUCAUAGAAGCGAUAAAACAAGAAGGUGAGAAUUUGUUACUGAUCCUACAGUGUUAUGAAGCUGCCUCCGGACAAAGAGUCAAUAUGGAUAAAUUGGAGAUCUUCUUCAGUGCUAAUAGAAGGUCUGAGAGGAAAAGCAAGCUAAUGGAUAUCCUUGGUAUUCAUAAGAUCAUGAAUAAUAGUUCUUACUUAAGGCUUCUAAUGUCUUUUGGAAAAUCUAAAAAUUCCAUACUUAGACCUAUUAAAAACUGAGUCUGGGCAAAGGUACAAGGGUGGCGAGGAAAGCUUUUAUCAUAAGCGGGGAGAGCUGUCCCGAUUCAAGUUGUUGCUCAAGCAAUACCAUCAUACUUAAUGUCCUGUUUCAAGCUACCAAGAAGCUUGCUUUAUCAACCAAAUGUCCUCCUUAAUAGCAGGAUUCUAGUGGGGAGAUGCAGAAGGAAAAAGAAGAAUACAUUGGUGUAAAUGGGAAUCAAUGUGCUGUUCUAAGUUGGAUAGGGGAUUAGGAUUUACAGACUUUGAGGCUUUCAACUUGGCACUGUUGGCAAAACAAAGGUGAAGACUCCUACAUAAUGAGAAUUAUUUGUGCUUUAAAGUUUUGAAAGCCAGGUAUUUCCCGGAGGAUCUUUUCUAAAAGCUAAAAGAGGUUCGGCUUCUUUUUACCUAUGGAGUAGUUUAUUGGCUGGUAGGGAAGUUUUAUUAAAAGGGUCGAGAUGGAAAUAGGAAAAGGGAAAAUGAAGGAUAUUUGGCAGGAUAGAUAGGUGGAUAAACCUCGAGACUAUCAAGUUGAUCAUCCUAUAGGACAACAUCCAACACCUAUGAAGGUGGCCAUCUUAAUAGACCAAGGAACAAAGUCGUGGAGGACCGAGAUAAUUGAUGAGUUAUUUCAAGUAGGGGAUGCAACGAGAAUUUUAAACAUACCAAUAAGCAAGUAUGGUGAUUGAGAUAUUCUUAUUUGGAAUGAUUCUUUGCUUGGGAAUUUUACAGUUAAAUCAGCUUAUUAUAAAGCCAGGGAGGUGAUAGGCAGAGGCACCCAAUUUGGAGGAUUAUUUGGUCUGCUAAAGUUCCCCAAAAGGUGAAGAUUAUGUUGGAGAUUAAUGUAUGAUUUCUUGCCAACAAAUGAGAGAUUAAAUAGGAGAGGAUUGCCGCUGGAGCAUUUUUUGCUCAGUAUGUGGUAAACAUAAGGAGUUUUGGUACCAUGUUUUUGUUGAAUGCUAUAUGAGCAGGAAGAUUUGGGGAGUGGUGAGCCCACUGGUUAGUGCUAAACCUUAAAACAACCUUCUGGAAGAGUUUUAGCUUAUUUUCCUUACCAUGACAUCACAGACAGAUUCAUUGGAGUUUUGUAUGUACAUUGUCUGGCUGAUUUGGAUGAACAGGAACAACUGCCUUCAUCAAGGGAAAUGCUUAAUGGUUAAGAAUCUAGUGGGGACAGCUCGUCGCAUGUUGAGGGAGAGACUGGCAUUAGAGAUCUAGCAUGAUUCGACAACAACAAAUUCCUAGCAUAUCUACUAGCAACCCCCAAAGCAGGAAAUGCUUAAACUCAAUGUGGAUGCUUCCUUUGAAGCUUCAAAUAGGAUUCUCAGAGAUUCUAACAGAAAUGUUGUUUUCUCAGCAGUAACUAGAAUGGCCAGAAUCCAAAGUCCAUUAUUUGCAGAGGUAAGAGCAAUUUUAUGGGAUUUACAAAUUGCAUUCGAUGAGGUGGUAGGGAGAAUAAUAAUUGAAAGCGAUUGCUUGAUAGCUAUAAAGGAGAUUGUUCAGGCAGGGGAAUCGUAUCGUGCAAGAGGAAAUGUGAUUUAGGACAUAAGGGUUGUAGCAUCAUGCUUUCCAAUCUGUUCUUUCAAGCAUACAAAUAGGAAAGCUAAUUGUCAUGCACGUAACCUAGCAAAAGUUUCAGUUCAGGCUAGGGAACAGAGGUUAUGGAUGAACUCUUUUCCACCAUCAUUUUGUAAUCUGGAUUUUAGUUAAACCAUUAAUGAAAUACCAUUGGUUAUCUUCAAAAAAAUAUAAUAACAAUAAUAAAGAAAUGUACCUAUUUAUUCUUUCUUUGAUAAAUAUUUUACAAUCCAUUUCUUUGGUUCUUAAUUUAUUUAUGCAUUACAUGUUUAUAUUUUUUAAACUAUAUACGUAUAACACCGUGAUAUCCUUUAAUUUGUUUGAAUAUGUAGUGUUGGCUAUUUUUUGUUCCCUAGGAUACAUCAAUAUUUUUUAAAAAUUUUUUAAUUUCUUUUUUACAAUCAAUGAUGGUAAACACUCCAAUUCGCGAAGAAAUUUUUUUUUAAAUUAAUUGAAUUUCAAAUUUUAAUUGUGCAAUUGAUUCUUAAUACAAAAAAUGAACUUUGAACUCAAAGAGUAAACACUCAAAAAAUUUUAAUUUCAAUUUUAAUUUUAAUUCUAAUCUUGAAUUUAAUUUUCAUUUUGAUUUUAAUUUGGAUUUGGAUUUUUUAAUUUUAAUUUUUUGGUUUAAUCUUCUUUUGGCCAAAAUUCGUCACAAGUCAAAAAAAAAAAAUUAAAAAAAAAAAGGGAAGUCGUGGGAUUUUGUAAAAGGGGGAAAUCUUGGAUUUGAUUCUGGUUGAACCUCAGAUUUUGGAAUUUAUUAAUUGAUCAUGCAUGGAAAUACUUGGUUCCAAAUUAAUGGAAAAAUGAAAAAUCUAGAAGAAUAAAAUCUUGGAGAUCUUUGUAGAUCUGGUGAGAUUAAUGUUUGCUCAAAUUAAAUCACGAUUUAAUGCCUAUAUUAAGACUUGAAAUUUGCAAUCAGAGGGAGCCCAGACAACAGAAAAUCAAGCCCAAUCAGAGGACAUUGACACAAGAAUCAAGCAUCAACCACAAUCAAAAAUAAGAAUUACUAGAAGGAAUUUGCAUUAAGAAUUAACAGAAACAAUUACAAACAGAGUCAGCACCAAAUGGCCCACACCAGUAGCAUUUCAACAGGGCAAAGAUCAAAGCGUUAAUAAGCCAUAAUCAAGCAAUUCACCAGGGAUAAAAUCAAGGUGGUAGAGAGCAAUCAGCAUUGAAACAGAGUUAGCACACACAACUUCAAUCAAACACUGAUUAGACAAAGCAGAACACAACCGAGGGCCUUAUUCAUCAAAGAGCAAUUCACAAGACAGAAAGUCUGAAUUACCUAUCAAAAACAACCAAACAAGAACACUCAACCCAAUCAACCCAAAAACACCAUCAACCUCAAACCCACAGAACCUGAAAGUCAUCAAUUAGAAAUCACCAAACCCAUACCUAGAACCGAACCCAUCCACAAACCAAGCAGUCAUCAAACAACAAACACAUCAAGCAAUCACAACAGCAAAAUCGAGAACACAUCAGCAAGGGUUUUUCUGUGGGUUUCGGUUUGAGUCUUUUUUGGGAGUUUCUAGGUUUUAAAUCAACGAUAGAAAAGGGAGGAAGAAGGUCUACGGAGGUCGUGUGAAUAUGAGCUCAUCGAGUUUUAGGCUGCAUAAUGGUCGAUCAAUUUCGGGGAUUUUGAUUCUGAGGCUAUUGGAAGAAAUUUAAAGUAGAUACCGUACAGCAAAUGGGGAAAGCUGGGUUUCGGUCACCUUCCUGAAAUUUUUUUUUGGGGCAUGUGUUAGAUUAGAGAGUGGAGGAAACCCUUUGAAGAAUAUUCUAGGAAGUUUUCUAAGCAGUUUAGUGGUGGAUUUGGAGACCAAUCAUUAAGGGAUAUUGGGUUUUUGUUGGGUUUUGGGCAAGGAAGGAAAGAAAAAGAGGAGAAUCAAGCGACGGUGUGUUUUCGAGUCUCCAGCGUACAGCGAACGGUGGUGGUCUCCGGUGCCAGCGACGACGGCGCAAAGUGGCAGCAAGCUGCCUGGACAUUGGAUUGGGUGUUCCAAGUUAAAAGCUUUGAAGAAACUAAGAAAGUUUGAGAAGUAAGAGACAGAGCUUAAGAAGAAAAGGAGAACAAAAGAAAAUUUUCUGGGUUGAAAGUCAAAAUGCUGCCGUUUUGGUAGCUAAAGAAGGAAGUUGAUCCAGAACCAAGACCCGCACGAGUAUUCACUUCCAGCUCGUCCCGUCUUUUAAUUCCAGGUUGUUAUUAUUAUUAUUAUUAUUAUUAUUAUUAUUAUUAUUAUUAUCUGUUUAUUCUUUUAAUUAUUCUCCUUAUAUUAAUUUAAUUUGAAAGGAUAAAGAAAAAACUUUGAUAGAUUUUUUAUGAUUUGCUUGUUUUUUAGGAUUUAUUGUAGGAUAAUUUUUGCAUUAUAUUGUUAUAUGAUUAUUUAUUAAUUGCAUGAUAUUUAUUAAUUGCAUGAUUAUUUAUUAAUUAUACAUUUAUUUACAUAUUUGCAUGAUUAAUAAUAUAUUUGCAUGACUAAUAAUAUAUUUUGCAUGAUAUAAAUAUAUUUAAUUUUUGCAUGAUUAUUAAUAUAUGUUGCAUGAUAUUUACAUGAUAUUUUUGUAUGAUAUUGUAUAUUGUUGCAUGAUUUAUUGCAUAAUAUUUUUUUAUAUAUUUAUUGCAUGAUAUCUUUGCAUAAUUUUUGGCAUGAUUUUUAUCCUGGCAUGAUAUUUAUGAUAUUUGUAUGAUUACAUAAUUUGAUUUUUUAUAAAAUUUUUGUAUGAACACAUUAUAUAAAUAAAUAAAAAGAACUAGAAUUGAUUUGAAUAAUUAAAAAUCAUCUUUGAUUUAGGCUUAAGCAAGAUAAUACAUAAUUAACUUAUUACCAAUUAUGGGUCUAAUGGGAUGCUAUUAUUUUUCCUGCACGUAACCGACUCGCAAACCUUAAUUUUGUUAAUGUAGAUCAGAUCCUAUUUUUUUAGGGAUACUUAGUUUAUACUUAGGAUAAGUUUAAAAGAGAUAAUUCACAAUAAUUGCCAAUCACACGCUUAAAUAAAAAAGAUUCAUGGCAACUCCAUGAUUUUUUAUAUCUAAUGGUAGUUCUCGAACCUAAACGCUAUGAUAGUUUGACAACUCCGCUGGGACAUUAAAAAGUCAUUAGUUAAUUAUUUGUUAUCUUAAGUUUUACUUUGAUGGUUUUUAUUAUGUAAUUAUUUAUAAAUUUCUUGUAGAUUAACUUAUUUGUUUAUUUUUUGUUUUGAAGAUUUUAAUUUUAUGUGCACCAAUUUAUUUGAUUAUGUGACAUGUCCUUUUACACAUACCACUCUUGUAUUCAUAAAUAAGUUAUAGACCCAAGCUUUGUCCUUUUAGGAUAGAGUAAAGUACUUUUGCUUUAUGGGGUGUUAACCUCAAAUAUAACUAGCGAAAUACUUUCACUUAGAUUGAACAUUUUCUGAUGGUAGCCUAUAAUGGGUGAUGAUUAAAAUGUCUUACUAGUCUAUAAUGAAUGAUGACGUAAAGAACAAUUUGGGAGCCUUUAAAUUGUCAAACCUCUAAACCUAACAUGUAAAUAAACCUUAAAGAUAAAAUCUAAGUUAGAGCCUUGUCCUGCUCUUUGCUAGAAAAUCCUAAAUAGGACACAUAAUAGGACAUUUAUUCUACUUGUAAAUUCAUAUAUUGUUCUUUAUAUAUAUUAUGUGUAUACUAACCCUUUAUAUUGUUUCUUAUAUAUAUUAUGUUUAUUAACCCUUUUUUUUUCUAUAUGUGCAUGCAUUUACAUUAUUAAAUCCUUCUUAUUGCAUUCAUGCAUAUAUGCAUUCAUUCAUGCAUUAUUCCAUUUCACUUUUUCAUAUAUUAAAAGAUGUGAUUGCCUAAUUGUAAAUUAAAGAGUAAAUUUUUUUUAGUUUUUACAUAGUUAUGAAUAUGAAUUUUUGUUUUUAAUAUAUAUUGCAUAUAUACAUCCAUGUAAAUAUCGUUGUAUGUACAUUAUUCUAUUUGUUUGAGAGCAAUCUUUAUCUUUUUAAUUUUGUACAUAGUUUUGAAUAUGAAUUCUCGUUGUUACUAUGCAUUACGUACCUGUAUUUACAUAUACAUUUUAUCCAUGUAAAUAUCUUUGUAUAUACAUUAUUUCAUUUAUUUGAAGGCAAUCUUUACCUUUUCAGUUUUGUGCAUAGUUUUUAAUAUAUGUUUUUACUAUGUAUUGCAUGCAUGUAUUUUUAUAUACAUUUUUAUUAAUGUAAACAUCUUUGUAUGUAAAUUAUUUCUUUUGUUUAAGAGAACCAUUGUCUUUUUUAGUUUUGUACAUAGUUUUGAAUAUGAAUUCUUGUUUUUACUAUGCAUUGCAUACACAUAUUUGCAUAUACAUUUUUAUCUAUGUAAAUAUUUUUGCAUGUACAUUGUUUCAUUUGUUUGGUAGAAUAUUUGCCGUUUUCAAUUUUGUACAUAAUUUUGAAUAUGAACUCUUAUUUUUACCAUGUAUUGCAUACAUGUGUUUGCAUCUAUAUAAAUAUUUUUGUAUAUACAUUAUUUCAUUUUUUUGGUCAGUUUUGGUACAUAAAAUUGGAAUAUGAAUUCUUAUUUUUCAUUAUGUUUUGCAUACAAGUAUUUGUAUAUUUUUUUCAUCCUUUUGAAUUUAAGUUUGUUUCACAAUAAAAACCCACAUGAUUUCUUUCUAUAAUUUAAAAAUAUUCUUUGUAAAGAAAAAAAAAUUUGUACAAACAAUCUUAAGAGAAUUGGUGAUUACUAUAAAAAAUGAACAUACCUAGUUGUUUCACUUACCGCUUCAUACCCCAAUUUAAUUGAGCAUCACACCAUUCAACGCUUAACUUCUUAAGUCCCAUGAUCUUGAUUUUCACUUAACAAAGAGACAUAUCCAAGUUAAUGAUCUUCAUUAAGGCUAUGAGUAAUGAAAUUUGAAAAACCUUGUUUGAAAAACUCUUGGUAAGCCAAUACAUGAGGCACUUUCUUAAAGAUUUUAGAUUUUGGUAAUUUGAUAACUCUCAAAAUUAUUCCAAGCACAUCAUUACCCAUAUUUCUUCACAAAGCUUAACCUUUCCAAUUUCUUCCUUAGGGCAUAAUUAUUGAAAAAGUCAUAUCUCCUUAAUAUCUAUGUUCGAUAUCUUGAUUUAUGCAAUAUUCCUUUUCUUUUCUUUCAUUGCCCUAAUUUUUUCUUUGCCAACAUCUUAGGACAAAUUUACCAAAAAGCUAAAUUAUCUAGUUUUUCCAAUAUCCUUUCCUCUUGAUGGUAUCGAUCUCAUCUCUUGGUAUAGAUCAUGAAAAUGAAGAUUGUUAUAUUGAGACUUCAUUUUAUGUAGUACGAUGAUACAUUGAGCUUGAAUUAUUAAAAAAAAAAGAGAGAGAGAGAGAAAGAGCAAAAGAAAAAAUGAAAAGAAAAAAAAUUGAUUAUAACAUUUGUAUAUGAGAUAUUCAAAUGAUUUCAAAGUCAAAAAGAAAAAAAUCUUCUUGAGAAUUACUUUUCAAUGGAGGUAUUUAUAUUUGAUAUGAUAAAUAAUCAUCUUUUAUUCCUUUCACAAAAAAAAAAAAUUCAUUUACUACCACUUCUGAGCCUAUUGAAUUCUUUUUUAAGAAACUUCAAUCAAGGAUCAUCCUCCACAUUGGGGUAAGUAUGAAAAGGGAUUUAUUGAAAAAGCAUUAAAUCCAAAGUUAAGAACAAUGAAAGAAUGCCUACAGUCAAAAGGCAAGUUUCAAAAAUUUAGGUAAUUUGUCAAGAUGUGAAAAAAUAAAAUAUAUAUAUAUAGAAAUAAAGAAACAAACGAAAAACAAAAGAAAAGAAAAUGAUGAAAAUGCAUGUUUUGAGAAGUGAAAACAACAAAUGUCCUUGAGAAGAGAUAUGGUCCUUGGUUUGAUUACCCUUAAACUCAUAUUUUGGCCUAUUUAACCUUUUGUUUAGAACCUUGGACCCCAGCUCACAGUACAUCCUUUGAAAAGCACAUUUUGAUCAAGUGUGGAUAUUUAAAUUGAAGAACUUUUCUUUAGGAAAUCACCAUUAUUUUUUUAUUUUGGAUGAAUUUCAAGUUUUCAAAUGCAUGAUAGAAUAGUCCAAAAAGAAAAUAAAAAAGAAAAAAGAGAAGAGAAAACAAAGAAAAAUAUUGAAUGAAGUUUUAUAGUAAAAACCCAAAAGGAUAAUAUAGCGCAAGAUUGAAAAAUUUUAAAAGCAACUCAAGCAAUUUCAUUAGUGGAAGGGAUUUUAGAAGAACCAAUGAAUAAUUAAGACUUUUAAGAAAUCCAAGAAUAUGAAUCCCAAUUUGAAAAUGUGCUUUGAAAUUUGAGACUUUUUUUCUUAAAAAAUUUGAGCAUUUCUUCCUUUCCAAAAAUUUUGAACCUAUCAUGAUUAGUCUUGACAUUUGUUAAAAUGCCACAUAUUAAAGAUUUAAGAGUGCCAAAAUGGAUUGUGCUUUAAAACAAAUCAUUUUUCAAUAAUUUGAACUCUCAUUUGUAAGCCUAGAUGAAGAAACAUUGAUUUUUCCUUUCUCAUUCAAUGACAAAGUCUUUCUUAAUAAUUGAAAUCCUAAUGUGCCAAACCAUUUCAUCCAUUUGGAAAGAUUAAAAAGUCAUUCACCCAAUUCAUUAUGGAUAGUAAUCACUAGCUUUCAAGAGAUCUAAAUAUUACAUAUUGAUACAUUUUGGUCAAGGAAAAUUGUUAUGUAGGGUAAUUUUUUUAUUCUUUUGGGGUAAUUCAUGUUGUCUUUGAAAAUUUUUAAAUUUAGAUUAUUGCAUAUAUGAAUUUUGAUGGAUUGGAGGAAGUUGAUGUCCAAAUCAAUAUGACAACAGUUACCUUUUUUAGGCAACAAAAAUGCUUUGUUUUGAUAAUUGCUUUUGCAUAAUUCAAUAAAUGUGCAAAUCUCUGUUUUAAUAAUUGCAUCUGUAUAAUUGUUUAGAUAUGUUUUUACAUCAUUUGGGGAAUUUGUAAAUUGCAUAAUUGAUUAGAUCAUGCAUUUUUCAUUAUUUGGUGAAUAUUUAAAUCAUUGUUUUGAAUAGUACAUUUGCAUCAUUGUUUGUACCAUGCAUUUGCAUCAUUUGGUGAGUAUAUAAAUCAUUGUUUGAAUAUUGUAUUUGCAUCACAAUAAAAACCAUGCAUUUGCAUCAUUUGGUGUUAAAGUUUUUACAUUUACAAAUAUUUGCAUCAUUUAAUUAAGAUUUUUUAAUAUGUUAAGAAAGAUUAUAAAAAAGAACAUUUACAUCUAUUUUUAUGGGAUAGAUAUUUGCAUUUACAUUUGUUAUGGAAAGCAUUUACAUUUUUUAUUGGUGAGCUAAAUAUUUGCAUCUCCAUCUUGGUAGGAUACAUUGGCAUUCGUAUCAUGACAUUUGCAUUUUUACAAACUUUGAGGUGAAGAAAAAAACAAAGAGAUUUGACUUAAGCUCAAAUUAAACUCAUAACACCAAUUGAGAAUUUAAGCCUAAUUAUGUUAGCAUGUGAAAAGGAAAAUACGAGACUGUAGCUUGAGAACUUUAUUACCACAAUUAGAAUUACGUGAUAUUGAUUGACACCUGCAUUACAUACAUUGUAUUCAUGAUAGUUGUUUGAUGGAUAAUAAAUUGUGUUUCUAGAUAUUGAAAUUAAAGGGUGAGGAAUUUCCUGAGAAAAUGUGGUUCAUUAGAUAAGAAAAUUUUUUAAGAUAAGGUUUUGACCUUUGGAUGGAAAAUUUGUUAAGAUUUUAACUCUCAAUUACAAAUAUUUUAUUGAAAAGAUUUUAAAAUUAUUGAAUCUCUAUUUAGAAGAACCUUUUUCAUUAAAAGAUGAGAAUCUUUGAUGCGAAUCCUUGAGACAAUAAAUUUUAAGAGUUAACUUUUCAAAUGUUUUGAAAUGCAAAUCAUUUAAUUUUAAAUGUGAAUCUCUAAAACUUUUCAAAAGCAAAUCUUUAAAUUUUGAAUGAGAAUGUAUAAAAUUUUCGAAUGAGAAUCUAUGAAUUUUGAAAAAAAAUCUUUAAAAAUUUUCAAAUGAGAAUAUGAAUCUUUAAUAUUUUCUAAGGCGAGCCUUUAAUUCUUGAAAUUUCAAAUGUGAACUUUUGAAAUUUUAGAUGUGAAUCUCAAAAUUUUUGAAUGUGAAUUUUAAAAUCUUAAACAUUUGUGAAUCUUAAAAUCUUUGCAUAUCUUGACUCUUUAUGAAUUUUGAAAUCUUUUCAAAUCUUUAAGCUUUUGCGAAUUUUGAAACCUUUGCGAAUCUUGAAACCUUUGUAAACUUGGGAAUCUUUACAAAUCUUGAAUAUUUGACAAAUCUUGAAUCUUUUGCAUUGUAUUCACUAAAUUCAUUGCCUUGAAUUGCAUUCACUACAUUCAUUGCAUCAUUGCAUUAAUUAUGUAUGUCUGACAAGAAGAAAAAUUAAAGUUUAAGUUGUGAAAUUGACUCUAUGAAUUUUUAAGUCUUUUCAUUCAUUGCAUACAUUCCAUGCAUAUGCUUAAAAUGUAGGAAGAAAAAAACAGAUGUUAAGAUGAUUUUAAAAAGCGACAUCAAUGAUGAUUCAAUUGAAAUGAAAAAAAUCGCUUUAAGGUAAGAAUUUUUUUAAAAUUUUAAUGACGUUAUUAAGAAGAACUUUUUUUGAAAUUGAAUCUUAUAUAACACUUUAUUUUUCAAAAGUUUAAAACUUCGAUGAAGAAACAAUUUAUUUUUCAAAAGUCAAAGCCUUGGUGAAAGAAUAAUUUAGUUUUUAAAAGUCAAAGCUUCUAUGAAAAAGUACUUUAUUUUUUAAAAGUUGAAACCUUGGUAAAGAAAUACUUGGUGAAAAAGCACUUUAUUUUAUAAAAGUGAAAAUCUUGAUAGAUGAGUACUUUAUUUUUCAAAAAUUAAAAUUCGAUAAAAGAGUACUUUUUUUUUCAAAAGUCAAAAUCUCGAUAAAAAAGUAUUUUAUUUUUCGAAUUUUCAAGUCUCAAUUAUAAAUGAACAUUUGCUAUCUCCUUUUGAUUUUUCUUGACCUGAACAAGAUAUAUGUUUUAUCUUUGUACAAUUCUUGUUUUAUAAAAAAUACAUAAUAAAAGACAAUUGUAGAUACAUCAUUUUGUUUGAAGAUUUCUUUUAAUUAAUUUAACAUCGUAUUUUGAUUGUCCAAUUGAACCUUAAUAUAAAAGUUAAAUUUUGAUCCUAAAGAUUAAAAGCCUAAAAAAUUUUAAUUUUAAUUUCAAUUUUGAUUUUAAUUUUAAUUUUGAUUUUAACUUUUAAAUUGGAUUUUGAUAUUUUAAUUUUAAUUUUUUGUUUUAAUAUUGUUUUGGACAAAAUUCGUCAAAAGUAAAAAAAGUAAAAAAAAAAAAAAAAAAUGGAAAACGUGAGAUUUUGUGAAAGGGGGAAAUCUUUGAUUUGAUUCUGGUUCAACCUUAGAUUUUGGAAUUUAUUGACUGAUCAUGCAUCGAAAUACUUGGUUCCCAAUUAAUGGAAAAAAUGGAAAAUAUAGAAGAAUAAAAUCUUGAAAAUUUUUGUAGAUCUGGUGAGAUUAAAGUUUGUUCAAAUUGAAUCAGGAUUUAAUGCUUAUAUUAAGACUUAAAUUUGCAAUCAAAGAAAGGGCGGACAACAGAAAAUCAAGAACAAUCAGAGGCCAUUGACACAAGAAUCAAGCAUCAACCACAAGCAAAAAAAAGAAUUACUAGAAGGAAUUUGCAGUACGAAUUAACAGAAACAAUUACAAACAGAGCCGGUACCACGCGACCCACACCAGCAGCAAUUCAACAGGGCAAAGAUCAAAGCCUUAAUAAGCCACUAUCAAGCAAUUCACUAGGGAAGCAAGCAAGGAGGCAGAGAGCAAUCGGCAUUGAAACAGAGUUAGCACACACAACUUCAAGCAAACACUGAUCAGAGAAAGCAGAAUUCAGCCAAGGGCAAUAAUCAUCAAAGAGCAAUUCAUAAGACGGAAAGUCCUGAAUUACCCAUCAGAAACCACCAAACAAGAACACUCAACCCAAUCAACCCAGAAACACCAUCAACCUCAAACCCACAGACCCCAAAAGUCAUCAAUUAGAAAUCACCAGAACCAUACCUAGAACCAAACCCAUCCACAAAUCAAGCAGUCAUCACACAACAGAAACAUCAAACAAUCACAACAGCAAAAUUGAGAACACAUUAGCAAAGGUCUUUUUGGGGAGUUUCUAGGUUUUAAGUCAACAAUAGAAAAGGGAGGAAGAAGGUCGGCAGAGGUCGAGUGACGGUAAGCUCGUCGAGUUCUGGGCUGCAUAAUGGCCAGCCAAUUUUUGGGAUUUUGAUUCUGAGGCUAGUGGAAGAAAUUUAAAGUAUACACGGACAACAAAAGGGGGAAAGCUGGGUUUUGGUCACGUUCCUGAAUUUUUUUGGGGUUUUGAUUCAAACAUGUGUUAAAUUAGAGGAAGGACGAAACCCUCUAAAGAAUUUUCUGGGCAAUUUUCCAAGCAGUUUAGUGGUGCAUUUGGAGACAAAUCAUUAAGGGAUAUUGGGUUUUUGUUGGGUUUCGGGCAAGGCAGGAAAGAAAAGGAGGAGAACCGGGAAGGGUGCGUUUUGGAGUCUCCAACGUACAGCGAACAAUGGUGGUCCCUGGUGGCAGCGAUGAUGGCGCAAGGUGGCAGCAAGCUACCUGGACUUGGGAUUGGGUGUUCACGGUUGAAAGCUUUGAAGAAACUAAGAAAGUUUGAGAAAUAACAGAGAAAGCUGAAGAAGAAAAGGAGAACAAAAGAAAAUUUUCUCGGUUGAAAGUCAAAAUGCUACCGUUUUGGUAGCUAAUGAGAGACGUUGAUCCAGAACCAACACCCACGCAGGUAUUCACCUCCAAACCUGACCCAUCUUGCAAUUCCAGGUUUUAUUAUUAUUAUUAUUCUCUGUUUAUUUUUUGUUAAUUAUUCGCCUUAGGUUAAUUUAAUUCGAAAAGAAAAAAGAAAAAACUUUGAUAGGAUUUUUUAUGAUUUACAUUUUUUUAGGGUUUAUUGUAGGAUAAUGCAUGAUAUUAUUACAUGUUGUUUAUUAAUUGUUGACAUUUAUUAAUUGCAUGAUUAUUUAUUAAUUAUAUGUUUAUUUAUAUAUUUACAUGAUUAAUAAUAUGUUUUGCAUGAUUAUAAAUAUAUUUAAUAUUUACAUGAUUAUAAAUAUAUUUAAUAUUUGAAUGAUUAUUAAUAUAUGUUGCAUGAUAUUUUCAUGAUAUUUUUGUAUGAUUUUUUAUAUUAUUACAUGGUUUUAUUACAUGUUUUUUAUAUAUUUAUUAUAUGAUAUCUUUGCAUGAUUUUUGGUAUGAUUUUUAUCUUAACAUGAUAUUUAAGAUAUUUACAUGAUUGCAUAAUUUGAUUUUUUAUAGAAUUUUUGUAUGAUCACAUUGCGCAAACAAAUAAAAAUGAUUGAAAUUGAUUUGCAUAAAAAAAAUUAUUUUUUAUUAAAGCUUAAGCGAGAUAACACAUAAUUAACUUAGUAACAAUUAUGGACGUAAUUGAGUGCUAAUAUCUUCAUUGCACGUAAUCGACUCUCGAACAUUAAUUUUGUUGAUGUAAAUCAAAAUUUAUUCUUUUUAAGAACAUUUAUUUUACAUUUAAGAUAACUUUAAAAUAGAUAGAUUCAUAUAAAUGAUCAAUCACAUUUAGAUAAAAAAGAUUAAUGAGGAUUUAAUGAUUUUUUAUAUGUAAUGAAUAAAUUCUUGCACAUAAACGUUAUGAUAAUUACCAAAUAAAUUUUUAAUGUAUUCACUAUUUUUGUAUUUUUAUUUUGAUUUCGUUCUCAUGCCCUUUUGUCGUAGUGAUAAGUUAAGUUAUUCACCUACUUAGUAAAAAAAAAAAAGUGGCCAUACAUCGAUACGUGAAAGUUCUAUUCCUUUCUCCAUAUCUAUUGAUUUUUUUUUUUUAAGUUUAAAGAAGUUGAUGUAUUUAUUUAACACAAAUAUUUCGAAAUCGGUUCUGUCUCUGUUACAAUUUGGAUAUAUAUUUUAUAACUUUAGAAAAGAUAAUAAAAAGUAUGGAAGAGCAUGACCAAAAUAGAAAAAUAGAUGACUCAAUAAUUUUAUGAUUAAUUAUUGAUAAUAAUAGAUACAACAUUGGGUUAAACACUAAUUCAAAUGUACGAAGGGAAAAAGAAGAAGAAAUUAUAAGAACAAUGACAGUUUUUUUUUUCAUUUUAUAUAUAUUUUUAUUUGUUCUUUGGAAGAAAUAUAAUGACAGUUUGAAGAAAAAAAUAGAAGAAUUUUUUUAUUUGCAAGAAAUAUAUAAAGGAAGAUCAAUGUAAACGAUGAAGGAAAAACAUAAUAAUAUAUACCUUAAAAUUGUUACCAAGAUGAAAAAUAAAAAAUAAAAAGAGACUUUUGAUCAUACAAAUAGAGCAACGGAUUAUUUCAUGUAUUUAACCUAGCAAAAAGUUUGGAUAAAUAACAAAGCAUAGCGAAAAGUUUAUUAUAAAUUCAAGUUUUUAAUUAAAUUUUAUUCUUGAAUGUUCACAUUAAAACUCUACUCUAUUUACAAUAUUUUGUUUCAUUUUGUUAUUAUGAUUUUAUCUUUAUCUAAAUAUUUUUUAUUAAGAUUAAUUAUCUUUCUCCUUAAAUAAGUUACUUGAAUUUUUGUUGCAACUUUUUUCUUGAGAGUUUAUAUCAUUUUUUAAAUAAUUAUAUAUCUCUACCGAAUUUAAACAUUUUAAAGAAGAGAUUUUUGAAAAUAUUAUAAAUCGGUUUGUAUUGUGUACACGAAAAAGGUAAAAAAUUGUAAAGUAUUAGUAAACGAUAUUUUGUUAAUUUUAUUUAUGUCAUAAACUAAAUGUUUUAUUCAAUUAUAUGUCCCUACCAUAGCAUAGGUUCAAAAUUAAUAUUUAUAUAUAUUAUUAUAUUAUAUUAUAUUAUAUUACAAGAUACAUGAAUACAUAAUAAGGUUGUCACAUGAACACCUAUACAGACAGUUUUUUUAUGAUAAAUAGGAUUUUUUUCUGAAGAGUCGGAUGGCUUAUUUUAAUUAAAUAUUGGAUAAUCCUUAAUUUAUUUUAAAUAUGAAAAUUUUAAAUUAAUAUUGUAAAACAAAUUAACCUAGAGGUAUGUUUUUUAAAAUUAAAAAUUUGAAAUAUAAAUUCUACUUCAUAUUGAAUAAUUUUAAUUGUUAAGAAAUAAUUUUGUUUAAUCAAUUAUUUAAUUAUAAAAUUUUCUCAAAAUGUUGAAAAAUUACAAAGAGAAAGUUUAUUCAAAUCUUUCAACAAUCCACUACAUAUUUUCUCUUAUUUUGAAUCAAAUAAGAAUUAUCUUUUAAAAAAUUUACGUAAAACAUUGAAAAUUUAAUUAGCUUUUUCAUAUUAAAUCUCUAAAUAAUAGAACUUUCAAAAGGAUUAUGUUCAUCUAAAUUCAAACUAUCAAAUUUAUAUUUCAAAUAUAAACAAAAAAGUUUUAUUUCAUUUUUAUCACUUAUUAUGUCUUUUUUAAAUUUUAAAAAAAAUUAUUAAUUUAAAAAUUAUCUAUACAAUCUUAAUUGCCACCUAAAAGUUGUUCUACAAAUUUAAGACUAUAAGAUAGUAUUUGGUAUGGGGUUGUUAGCUUUUUAGGUAAAAUAUUGAUCCAAGAGGAAGAUGGAUUGUAUUUAUUUAUAUUCUUCCUAAACAAUAAUUUCAAAAUAAUUGAAUGAAAAAUAAAAUCAAUAUUAAAAUAUGAAGCAAAUAACAAUAAAUUGAUAAUCUAAAAGCAAAUAUAAGUAAUAAUAAUGAAUGCAAAGUAAAGAGAUAGAGAUAGAGAAAUCAAAUAUAAAAAAGAUUUAUAGAAGUUCAAUCCUUCUCCUUAAGGCACCUACGUCCUCCCUCUAGGUUGUCUACACUAAAGCUUCAAUCCACUAAACUUGAAUUGAGAAUACAACCUUAUCUUUUUCUUCUUAAGGCUUAAGAUAGAAACCUUUAUCCUAAUACAAUCAAGAUGAUAGCUCACUUCUUGCUUACAAGAUAACCCAAAUGAUUUUUGCAAAUUAAAAUACCUCUCAAGGUUUAGGUAUUUGCCUAAUAAAGUAUAAAAAAAAUGGUGAAUGAAACACAGUAAUAUUUUGGAUACAAUAAAUAUAAAGAAUAUUGAAUUUAAGCUCUAAAAUAGAUUUCUUUGAAAUAAUGAAAAUAUGACUUGUUUGAUCUUGCUCUCUUGAUUCAUCAACCUUCUUGGUGUGUUGGAAUACUCAAUUUAUAGAGGAAUUGAGAAACUAGUUGUUGGAGAAGCUUAGGAAAUGAAAACACAUGAUUUUCUUAUUUGAAACUAGCCAUUAGAGCUUGUUUGGGAUGAAGGGAUUGAUUGGUUUUGAUAGGGGAUCAAUUGGGUGCACUAGGAGAUUGAUUGGUUCUUAAGUUUCACUUAAUUUUUGACCACUAUAGCUGAGGGGAUCGAUCAGGUACCUUAAAGGAUCAAUCAAGUCAACAAGAUUUUGCAUACUAAGUGAUUCUGGAUGAAUAAUGCCAUUGGUUGUCUUUUAUUUUUACUCUAUUUACUAAUUUGAUCAUAUCUUGAAUUAUAUGACUCCAAAUCAAAAAUCAUUUGAAGAUUUAGAAACUAAACUUAAAGGCCUUUCUAUCCAUAUAAAAUUUGUCACUUAAUUCAUUGUAUACAAAUUGUAGUCAAUUUUCAAAACUAACUCUUAUGCAGUUUUUAGAUAACUGCAUAGUAUUUAAUAAAAAUUUAAAAUCUUUUCUUAAAAAAUUUGUAUUUUGAUUUGUUUAAUCCAUUAGAAAGUAGACUCAAAGAGCUUUCCAACCAUUUAAAAUUCAAAUAUUAAAAAUGUUUGAAUUAAUACAAAAAAAAUAAACUAAGUUCAAUGUUGAAAAACUUUGUUCUUAUAAAACAAUUUUCCUAAGUUAAUCUAUUUCUUAAAACAAUAUUAUCAAAAUUGUAUUGAGUCCAAGAUGAAUAAGUUUAUUUUAAAAGCAACAAUUGGACUUUCGUUUAAGUUCAAAUAAAUAACCUUGAAAGAUAGAUUUGGUUUGGAGAAUAUGAAAACAAAGAAAGGUUUAUUUUACACUUUGAAAAACAUAUUAUUUAUCUAAUACCAAAAAUAAUCAUACUUAAGAACAUGUAAUAAAUAAAUCUUUUUCAAAAUCUUAAUCAAGCUAAUUUAGCUUAAUAUUUUGUCAUUUCAAAAUAAGGAUCAAUUUAAGGCAAACAGAGGUGAUCACUCAAAAAAUCAUGGUGAUCUACACUUGUUAAUUAGAUCAUUGUAUUUAGUAAGCACUCAUGUGGCAAUGAUCUUAGAUUACCAAAAAUGAUUAGAUCACCAUCUUGGAAAAUGAUCUAAUUUUCAUACAAAAGGGUGGAAAAACUUCUACCACUGAGGUGAAAUGAUAUGUAAAAUUAAUAAUAGUCAAUUUUACCCAUUUAAUAUGUGAAUUAAAAACUUACUGUAUCUUAAAAUUAUAAUUAUUUAACAUUAUAAAUUUUGAUAUUUUCAAACAGUCAAAUUAUGCUAUUAAUCCGUGUACUAUAUGUAAAGUUAUUGUCCAAUCUAAUGAUGGUUGGCUAUUUACUCUGUUAAAUUGAUGACAUGGCAUGUUGACCACGUGAUGUGUCAUUGACUUGAUGACAUGGCAUGUUGACCACGUGAUGUGUCAUUGACUUGAUGACAUGGAUAAAAAUGCUGGGUGAUUUGGGCUUUUCUUAUGACAUGGAUAUUCCAUGUGUCGAUCUGCUUUACUUAAUAUCAUUAAACAAUUUUAAAAAACCCUAAAUUUUUCUAACUUAUUUUCUUUCUGUUUUUUACUUAAAAUUCCCUAAACCCUUUUUAACAAAAAAAACGCUCUUUCACUAAACCUUAAAAUUUUCUCUAAAAAUCAAAAUCCAUUUGACUAAAACAUCUGAAGGUAGCAAAAUUUCCUAAAGCUUCGAAUGAUUUGAAAAAACUUGAUAAUUUGUUUAAGCUUCAAUCCAAAAUCCCACUGUGCAUAUUUUUGACCUUAAAGAGUUGAAGAAAAAGAAACAACAGAAUAAGUUGUGUAGAGAAGAAAAAGUAGGAUAGAGUGAAGAAAAGUACCAAAAAAAAAAAGGUGAAUAUUCAAAGGCAUUGAAAGGUGAGUAUUAUCUAUAUUUAGGGUUUUUUUUACAUUAUUAUAUUGGUUUUGUACUUGGAAAGCAUGUGUUGUCCUCUCUAUGAUCCAGUGUGCUAUUUUGUUUUGUCUACCACUACUGAUGAUAAUUCGACCAAAGAACUUAUGUGGAGAAUAAGACACAGUACACAUGUCUUUUUAUUACUUACACUAUUUAGAUGAUUUAUUUUGGUCAAAAAAGCUUAAGCAUAUACAUAAUUAUUUUCAUAAUGUUAAGGUCAAAUUAUGUUAUUUAUCACCAUACCAUAAAGCAUGUUAUCAUUUAAAAAUGCAUUAUGCUAUAAAAGUAAGGUCAAAUUAUUUUCAAUAUAUGGGCAGAAAACACAUUAUCAUAUGAUGGUGUCUAUUUUUAUUUGUGGUCAGACAUAGUACAAUAUGUGGUCAUAAGGUCAAGUUAAUGUGUUCAAUUGGUUUCAUUUGUUGUCUAUUUUUAUUUGAUAGUAUGACAUCUGAUGGGUGUAAAGUAAGGUACCAUCACAGAAGGAAAUUUACAAUAACCUGAAGAAGUGUUCAAUAUGCAAAUGGGUUAGUAGUAGAAUACGAUAAAGAUUGGGAUCGUAUUUGUUAUUGGAAUAUAUUAGGUACAACCAAGUUCCUAGGUUAUGAUUUGUCAAAUUUGAUGAGAGUUUAUUAUGUUAAGGAUGGGAAGACAUUAGAUAAUGGGUUAGGGUUGCUAUGUGAAGAUAGGAGUAUACUAGAGAUGGUUGACCAAUUAAGGAAGAAUCGGAUUAUGGAUAUAUAUGUAGAAUAGUUAACCAAAAAUAUUAAGGAUAAAGAGGUGCCAUAUGCACUAAUUGAACCAAUUAAAGUUGUUGAGGUUGGUGAAUUAAGUAAUGAAGUUAUGGCUCUGACUAGUGGUGCAAUUAAUGAUGGCAUAAGUCAUAUACCUCCUAGACCUUUUACACCUAGGUUAGAGGAUUUUCAUAGUAACGUAGAAGUAGAUAAUGCUGGGAUAAAAAAUGUAAUGUGAUUAAACAUCAAAAGGUGAAUAUAAUUGAUGAAGGGUUGAUUUUGACUAAAGAUGUAGAGGAACAUGCAAUGGAUCAUAAGCUAAUUUUGACUAAAGAUGCAAAAGAACAAGUAAUGGAUCAAAAGCUUAUUUUAUUGGAGAUGCAAAGAAACAUAUAGUGGUCAAAGGAUGAUUGUUAAUGGAGAUGUAAAGGGCAUACAGGGGUUGAAGGGGAACAAGUAGGGGAUGAAAAACUAAUUCUCAGUGGAGAUACAAGGGAACAUGCAGGAGUUGAGAAGCAACAUGUAAAGGAUGAAGGACAAUUUGGUAGUAGAGAUAUAAGGGGACAAGUAAGGGAUAAAGGACAAAUUGGUAGCAAAGAUACAAAGGGACAAGCAGUGGAUGAAAGGAUAUAUUGAGGGGAUGAGGGGUUAGUGCUAUUGAAGCUCUAAGGGAUCAGGCAGAAGAUAAAGGGAAAGAUACAGAAGAUGACACUAAAGGGCAUAUGAAUGAGAAUAAAAGUGAUUCAAGUGAAUUUGAAUAAGAAAGAUUAGUUGAUAAAAGGAUUGAUUUAGAUUUAGAUGAUGAGUUUGGGGUUGCAAGGGAGAAGUUGAAUGAGUAUAUUAAAUGGAAAAAAAGAUAUGCCUUAAAACGUCAAAUGGUGAAAGGGAUGAUGAUAAUGAUCUUAUUAGUUUCCUUAUUCAAAAUAAAAGAUGUAGUAGUCAAUGUUCUAGGCCUAAUCUAGAUUCAGACAAGGUUAGAUGGUAUAAAAGUGAGUAUUUAAAUUCAUCAGACCCUAGUAGUUUUAAAGACACUGAUGGAUCUUUAGAUGAUAAUGCACUAAAAGUACAAUCUAAAAAUAGGCACUAUAAUCCAAAAACACCCUUCAUUAAUUUUAUGCUUGGACUUAGUUUUGAAAAUCUAAAGAUUUUCAAAAUUGAGUUGCCAGACUUUUUAGCAAGGGAAAUGUUUGAGUUUAAGUACAUGAAAAAUGAUAAAAUUAGGGUUAUAUGUACUACCAAUGGUUGCAAGUGGGCUAUCUUAUGCUUUGGUGCAUCACUUACAAGACAUUUGUGGUCAAAACAUAUGAAAGAGAGCACUCAUGCCUACCUACCUUAUAAAAUAAAAUGGUGACAACAGCUAUGAUUGCAAAAAAGUAUGGUGAGAAGAUUACUGCUAUGCCUUUCAUUAAGCUUAGACAUUUAAGAGCACUGGUGAGAAAGAAUUUAGGUGUCAUUGUGUCAUCGACUAUGUACAAGGCAACAAAAGUGAGUUUAUUAGAAAAAUAAAAAAAAAUAAAAAGAAAUUUGAAGCCUUGAAUGACUAUAAUGAAGAACUAAAAGCAAAAAAUCCUCGAAGCACUGUAUAUGUAACAACCCAUAGGGUAACACUUAAAUCAAACCCAAUCUUUGAAAAGAUGUGUCUGUUUUAAAGCCUUGAAACAAGGUUUUCUAUAGGGAUGUAGACACAUUAUUGGACUAGAUAGAUAUUUCUUGAAAGGGUUGGUCAAAAGACUUACUUGUGGCCAUUGUGAGGGAUGAGAAUGAUUAAAUGUUCCUAAUUACAUAGGUUGUGGUGGAAAAAGAGAAUACUGAAACUUGGUCUUGGUUUGUAGACCAAUUAUGUCAAGAUUUGAAUAUUGAUAAUGGGUUUUGCUGGUCAAUCAUAAGUGAUAUGCAAAAGGUAUAUUUUUUAUUUAAAUAUUUUAAUGGUUUUAUAAAAUUUUUGUUUAAGAUUCAAAUUAAUAUAUGUUUCGUUGUUCAUAUGCUAGGGUCUUGUAAGAUCUAUCAAAAAGUUACUUUCAUUAGUUGAACAAAGAUUGUCUACUAGGCAUAUCUAUGCUAGAUGAGGUAAGUAAAAUAAAGGUAAAAACAUACAAAUGUAGUUUUAGAUUUGUGCUAUGCCCCCAAACCAGCUAGAGUUGAAAAAACAAUUGGAUAUCAUGGCAAGCAUUGAAGAAAGGAUAAAAGCAAAUGAUGAUUUAUUAGAAAAAUGGCUUGUCUAAGAUUAGAGUCAAACUUUUUUUUUUUGAAAUAAUUAAGGCUGAUAUGAUUGAUAAUAACAUGUGUGAAACAUUUAACGGGAUCAUAUUAAAAGAUAGGUGCAAGCCUAUAAUUAGCAUGUUUGAGGACAUUAGAAUGUAAGUGAUGAAGAGAAUGGUUCAAAAAAGAGAGUAUGUAAAUAAAUGGAAGGCUAAUUAUAGGCCUAAGAUACUUGAAAAACUUGAAAAGUUUAGGAGACUUUGUGGUAAAUGGGAAGUAAAAUGGAAUGGAGGUACUAGACAUGAAGUUUUCUAGGAUGAUUUACAAAACUAGGUGAGGGAGAGUUAUAUUGUGAUGUUGUAGUAGCAUUCUUGUAAUUGUAGAAAAUGGGACAUUUUUAUAAUUCCUUGUCAGCAUGCAAUGUCUACCAUUAUGUAUCAAGGGUAAGAUCUUAUGCAUUAUUUAUCUUUAUGGUUCAACAAGAAAAACUAUUUGGCUACCUACCAUUUUAUGUUGAAUCCUAUCAAAGGUUGAUUAUUUUGGCCAAAAAGUAUAAAGGGCCCAAUCAUGCCACCAAUGUUUAAAAGAAUACCUGGGAGACCUGCUAAAAAAGGUGGAGGGAAGCACUUGAAGGAAAGAAUAAGACCAAACUUUCAAGGGUUGGAAGACUUAUGACUUGUAGUUUUGCCAUAAAGAGAGCCAUAACAAGCAAGGCUGUCCGAGGAGAUCUGAAUUUGUAAGAUUUAUAAGACUUAUACUCAUAUUUUCUUUUAGACAUUUUAAAAUGUCAUAUAGUUGUUCAAUUUAAAUGUGAUUUGAACUAAUUAAGACAUGUUACUUUAAAUAAAUAGGCACGUGGUGUUGAAACAUUAAGACCUCGAAGUGGACAAAAAAAGAAAAAAAAUAUACCAAAAGACAUGUCUACUAAUGUUGCUAGUAGACUUCAUUGCAAAGUAUAAAACAUGUCUAUUGAUAUAGCUAUUUGACUUCAUUGCAAAGUAUAUGACUUUAUAACCUUGUAUGUUUUAUGUUUCAUUUAGGAUAAUGCUCAAGGAUCAAGUGCAACAUUUUCCAAGAAAACUUUUAAUGAUCAGAGAUCUUUUACUUCUGUUACGCAUAAGGUAAGUAGUUGUCUAAUAUGUUUAAUUUUAGAUGAAUCUGUGUUUCAUCUAUAUAGUUGUUGAGAUAUUGCACUUUGCCAAUGAAAAGAAAUGGUGACACCUAAACACAAGGAAGAAAAAAUAAGAAACCAUAGCCAUGUGGAAAAAGGAUAAGUUUAUACCAAGACCUUAAAGUGGAUUCUCAAUACUAAAUGUAAGUAUUUACGUGGCACAAUUCUAUAAUGAAACGUGUUUGGUGAUAGAUUGUUUUUAACAUUACUUUUUAUGUUUUGUUUUUAACAUUACUUUCUUAUGUUUAAAUCAAAAAAACCUAGAAGACUUGGUGAAAUGAUCAUAAGCAGAUAAGGCAUAAGGCUUGAAUCUUGCAUUACUAGAAGUCAAUUGCAAGUAACCCUUGCACCUAAUUUUCUUUUCAAACUAUAUUGAGUCAAGUGACAAUGUCCAAAUACUGAUUUAACAUAUACUUCUUUUUUUACAAUAAGCAAAAAGGAACAACAUGGUAAUGAGGAAAAAGAAGGCAAUAACUGAGGAUUCCACACCAACCUUAAUUCAACAAAAUACAUUAACAAAAAGGAAAGAAAUAGCUUGACUUCAAAAUUAGAUGCUCUAUGUAACGUUUUAUCUUUUUCGUAGCUUUUGAUGAUUAUGAUUGGCUUUCGCAAAUGAAUAAUGAUCUAUGAUCUUUUUGUAAAGUUUAGGAUGUUAUUGUGGUUCAGGGAACUAUUUUUUUUUUUUUUUGUAUAUCCUAAUCCUACCAUACCAUUGGAGUUUAUAUGAUAGCGAAACAAAACCAUACCAAUAAGGUGAAUAUGAUAGAUUGCUUUUGUAUAGCAACGCAUAUUGUUGGAUUUGGAAACUGUACAUUGUGCAUUUGUGCUUAAAAUGAAAAAACCUUAUAGUUUUAUGUAUAUUUUGUCAAUUUUUUUUGUAUGUGAUAUAUAUUACAGAUGUGGUCAAAUUGAACUUCAAAUGACAUAAACAAAAUGAAUCUUAAGGAACAAAGUUUUGACAUUACUCAAAACUUAUAAACCAUGUACACAGACAUUUACUACAACAAAAAAAAAUCCAUUUCAUUAACAUAGCAAGCAUUUACUGAAGGGUUAGAAAUUCAACUCUCAUUAUAUCAUCCCUACCAUGUCUUAUUGCGAAAUACAAUAAAAUUAACCAAGUCACUAUGAACACCAAUUUGUAUAUCUUCUUCUCUCUUGAUUGUGUUCUUGAAUCCAUAAUAGAAGUCUUCAAUUUUGUCUCUAGCACGUCAAUCUCAACAUUCAAUGUAGCCAUUUCAUCACAUAAGUCUUUGUUGAUAAUUCUAGAAGACAUUUCUUUAAAACAUCCAUUUUACCUCUUAAGCUCAACUAAGAUUCUUGUCAAUGCUUUAUUUUCUUCUUUCAGUAUCAAAUUCUCUUUUUCCUGAUUCUUAUUAACAUCCAUUAAGUUAAUAAUCACUUCUUUUGUAUGUUUAUCACCUAUUGGUGGAUCAUGUUAAAUAAAACACCAACAUUUUUUAACCUACAUAAUUUAUCACAAACAACAAAAUGAACAAUCAAUUUCUACAUAAAAUUUUAUAACAUGCAAAUAAAUUUUUUAAGCCAUUGCCCAAUCUCAUACCUUAUAGUUGCUACAUCUAAAAACUUUUUUUCAAGCUUAUCAUCACUUGUUGAUGUAACUAAAUGAGCUUUCAUUCCACAAUACCAGUAUAUUGGAUCACCUUCAUAAUCAUAGAUGAACAGUACAUAACAUAUUUUCUAUAUGAAACAAAGGGCAUUUCUUUUUUUUCAUUUGAUUUUUAAAAAAUUUCAACAUUUUAUCUAAAUUAAUUUGUUAGCAAAUAUAUACAUACAAAAAGCAAUAGUAUGCUGUUACAAUUUGUUCAACAGACCUAAAUCUUAAGCCCAGGUGUGUUCAACAAUCAAAAUGGCUAGUUGUCAAAAUUAAGAGCCAAUGAAUUUUGAUUAAAAGCCAAAUCCUAAAACAAGAAGUUGUAAAAAAAUUAGUAGCCAAGGGAUUUUUCUAUGCAACGGUGACUUAUCAAAACUCUUACAACUCUUUGACUUUAUUGCCCAGGACUAGUUGAACUUGAUCUUGAAAUCAUAGCAACUAUUUUGUAUCUUCACCCUUAUGGGUUUAGAUCCUUGAAGUCAGGAUGGAUUUUGGAGAAACAAAAGGCACAAUUUUAAGGAUUCCAUUUCGUGGAAGGGUUAGAAAGCAAAAAAGAAAAGGGUUAGAAAAAUUUAGGGAAUUUUGAAAGAGUUAGAAAAAGUAGAAAUGAAAAGGUUAGGUUGGCAUUUGGAAAUUUCAUAUCAUACAAAAAAGGCCUAAUCACCUAGUAUUUUUAUCCAUGUCAUUAGGUCAAUGACACAUCCCGUGGUCAAUUUGCUAUAUCAUCAAUUUAACAGAGUAAAUAGCUAACCAUCACAGAUUGGACAAUAAUUUCAAAUAGUGAUAAGUAUGGAUAUUUCCAAUAUUACAAUUAUUGUACAAGGAUUAAAUUCAAGUUUUUCGUAUAGUACAAGGAUUAAUAGCAUAAUUAGACCUUUUUCACUAAUAUUCAUUGUAAUAAGUUCAAAAUGAUUUUUUUUUACUUUUUUUAAUAUUUUAUAUAUAAGAUAAUUUUUUAUUUUUUAUUAUGAAUUUAAUAGAUUAGUUUUAUUGCCUAAUUCAAACAUCUUUUACAUAAUUUAUAUUAUAAAAAUCAAUUUACCUAUCAAUAAAGAUAUUUAUUAAUUUAAUAAAUUUAUUAUAUUUUAUUAUACAAUAAAUAAAUAUUACUAAUAUUUUACAAAUUAUUAUCUUUAAACAACUUUAAAUUAUUAAUUUAUGUGACUAUUAUAAUAUGCAUGAUUAUUUUUGGUCUUUUAAACAAAAUAAUGUUUGAUUUUUAGUAAAACUAAACAUAGUGAUCUUUAAUUUCUAAGAAGUUAAUCAUUGUUAAUCAAACAAAAUGAUUUCAAAUUAUGAGUGUUAAAAUCUCAUUGGUAAUAAGAUCACAUUGGUAAUUAUAUUAGCAUAAUGAUCUUGCAAAAGAUACCUAAUGCUACCUAAAUGUUAUGUGUUAUAUUAAUUUUUUAUUUUUUCAGUUUGCAACUAGUUUUCAAGGUUUUUUUUUUUUCAAGGUAAAUUACUAUUACAAAUUUUUUGGGGUUUGCAAUUUUCAUUUUUCAAAAUAUAUUCUAUUACAAAACUAGACAGAUCAGAGAUAGCGAAAAAGGGAAUAAGUUUAGGGGAAUCUUUUUCAGUUAUAAGCCAUGAGGCGAAGAUUAAUCACUAGAGUUCAAAUAUAGCAAGAUUGAAAAUAUAAUGAGGUGUUAAGAAAAUAUUUGGCCUAAAUUGACUUGGUUUAUCAAAUGUUCAUUAUUUAAAGAAAUCAUAUUUGAUUCCCUAAAUACUUUUUGAAUUUUCUAAUCUUUUGUGUUUUUAAUAGACUUACCUUUUCCUUUCCCACCAAAAUAAACAUCCCAUCAUUAAUUAAAGCUUGUAUUAAACUUUGAACAAGAAAUCAUUGCAUUUGUCACUAGAAAUUGAGAUAAUUAUCGAUAAUCCUUAUAAUAGACUAAAGUGUUGCUCAAAAGAAAGAAUGGAAAGAUAACAAAAUAUAACAAUACAGGAAAGCAAAAAUCAAUUGAAUGAUAAAAAGGGUGAAUAAAGAAAGAACUUGGAGGAAACUUUUAGACAUGUUGGGGUCACAGAAAGCAUUUAAAAAAAAAAAGAGAAAAAGAAAGGAAAGGAAAGUGGCAAAUGAAAACAGAAGGAAAAAAUAUUGGGGGCCACCUUUAGAGUUUGAAAUAGUUGAACUAAUCUUGAACAUUGAAUUAACAUGAUCAAGAAAUGCAUGAUAUAAAUCAUUGAUUACAUUUUUACCAUCCAGAUCCAUUAUAGUAGUCACAUGCAUUGCUUACAUUUUUUGAUAAAUCAUGUUAAAGGUCUUUUGGGAGAAGAUGUUAAAUGGAAUCAAAAAUUUUUUAAAACAAGGUUUCAUUAGCCCCUGGAAGAAAAUUUGCCCUUGUUCAUCCUUAGUUUCUUUCUCACAGUUUAAUUCCCAAUUGUCAUUAUUUUCCUUUUUGCUGUUUAAUUCCCAAUUAUCUUUAUCUUUCAAUUUACAGUUCAAUCUUGAUUGUCCUUUAUUUUUUGACUUGUGAUUCCGCCCUAGUUAUCUUUAUUUUUUGACUCAUGACUCAAUCCUAGUCAUUCAUAUUUUUUACCUGCAGCUCAAUCUUGAUUAUCCUUAUUUUAAAUUUGCGAUUCAGUGCUAGUCAUUAUUAUUUCUAGACUUAUGAUUCAAUCUCGAUCUUCUUUUAUUUUUCAACUAGAGGCUUAGUCUUAGUCAUUUUUAUUUUCUGGCCUGUGACUCAGUCUUGAUCAUCUUUAUUUUUGGACUUGCAGUUUAAUCCUAAUUAUUAUUUAUUUUUGACUUGCGAUUUAGUUAUAGUCAUCUUUUGUUUCUCGACUUACGAUUUGAUCCCACUUAUAUAUAUAUUUUUUAAUUUGCAGCUUAGUCUUGAUUAUUCUUGUUUUCUAACUUGUGUGACAAUCCUAAUCAUUUUUCAUAAUUUACGGAUUAGUUUAGAUCACUUUAAACUUAGAUAUUAAAAAAAAUGAAAAAAGGAAAAACUCUCUUUAGGAAGUGGCAUUCGAACAAAAUUAUUAUAUAUGUCUUGGCAUUAUUCUUAAUCUUUAAAAAUAUGCAAAGAGGGGCAAUUGUAAAUACUUAAUUUUGUUCGAGAUAUCUUAUCACUUUGACUUGGGCUUGGUUUUGUAAUUAAGCUUUGACCAUAAUUUUUUGGGCCCAUUGCAUGACUCAUUUUUAAAUGCUCUGGUAUAAGGCCCAAUGUGAGCCCCAUAGUGAGACCCGUUACAUAAGUCUAAAUGAAACCCAUUAUGAGCCCAUAACAAAAGGCCUAAACAAAACUUAACAUGGGAGACCAAUUUGACCCAAAUGGCUAAGGCCCACAACCAAACAAUAGAAUCUAAGGUCCACAACCAAAAAAAUAGAAUCCAAUAUCAAAAAAUAAAAAGGCCUACAACAAAAAAAUAUAUAGUCCAAAAUCAACAAAGGCCAUUCGGCCUUAUUAAAGUGGCUGUCUCACGUGAUUAAAAAAGAGAAGGAAAAUUGCAUGAAGACAUGGGAAGAAUACGUGAAGAAGCUGUUACCAAAAAAAGUAAGGAAACUGCAUGAGUUCAUGGCCUAGGCAACAUGAAGCUACACGUGGGAAAAAAACUGAAAUGAAAAAGGGCAUGGAGGCGUGGCUGGUAAUGUGGGAGGCAUAAGCAGAAACUAAAAGGAGAGCAGAAGAGAAAAAGGCAGCAAGCAUGAACCAGAAAAGAAAGAACAAAACCAGAACUGAGCAGAACAAAAAAAUGAAGGCAGCAGCAAAAAAAAGCAGAACAAAAGUAGAAAACAAAAACCAGAAAAAAGGUGGGUAGCAACAGAAAACAGGACUGAAAAAAAAGAAGCAAGCAUUCGUGAAGUGAGCAAAAAAAAAAAAGAUGCUAGCAGUAGCAAAAACAAGAGUAGAACGACAAACAGGAAAAACUGGCAGCAGCAAAAAAGAAAAUAAGAAAGGAGCAGAAAAACAAAACCAGUAAAAACUAAGCAUAAAAAAAAUUAUAGCAGAAAAAAGAGAAAAGGAACCAGUAGCAGAAUACCAGAAGAAAGAACUGGCAGCAAAAAAAAGUAGUAGAAAAGGAAGAAGACGCUCGUGGAACCUAGGAAAAUCAGUAGCAGCGAAAAAGAGAAGAGGAGAAGCCAUUGUAUAAAAGAAAACCAGAAGCAGACCAAAAAGCAAAAAACAAGCAAGAAAAAACUUGCAGAAAACAAAACCAGUAAGCCUUCACUCUUCCUUUCCUUCUAAAUAUAUGUAAUGUAUGUAGCUAGGUUUGGUUCAUUUUGGGUUCUUCCUCCUUAGGCUUUGGCAUGUUGAAAAGUUUCCUUAGAGAGGUCUGUUUCAUUUUUUUUUGUCCCUCUUCUUCUACUUAUCAAGAGUUCCCCGGUAUCGCAACUUAAUUGUUGUUGCAAGAUGAUGCUAUGUUCAUGAAACGGAAACGUUUUUUAAAAAACAAAGCGGAAUGCACCAGUUUCUGCCCCCCUUUGGAAGUUAGAUUGCUAAAAAAGGAGAAGAUUUUUUUUUCUUUUUCAAAAAAUGACUGGAAAAGGGUUCUUUAAAGUUUGUUUUGUUUUGUUUAACUUUAUUGCCCUCUGCUGGUUGUUUUUUUGCGCGAGAAUGGAAUGCAAAGUUUCCAAAGUGUUCAAAAUCUAUGGCUGUGUGAAUUGGUUUGCAUGAAAGUUGAUUCCCACCUUAAAUUGUCAUUCUUUGUAAAAAACCGACAAUCCUUGUUGUCCAAAAAUAUGAUAAAUGAAGCGAAUGGCUUUCUAAAAGAACAAAAUAAUAAAAAAUAAUAAGAUAAGCUAAAUUUAUAAACCAAAAAGGAAGAAGUGAUUUUUGGCUUGUUGGUCCCAUGCAUAUUUUCUACUUUUAACAAGGGUGGCUUAAUUUAGGUCUUUGGCUUAAUUUUGUUAGUUUGCUGCUGUUAAUUUUUUGGCACCUUUAACUCCUAUGAUUAAUUAGUCCAUUUACAACUUAAUUGUCAAAUAAUAAAAAGUAGUAAGUAAAUAGUAAUCAAGUAAAAAUAAUAAAAAAAUUAAAAUUUUUGAAAUCCCUGCCUAGAUGUUGGAAUAAGUUAAAAAUUGAGUUAAGAAAAAUUAAUUCCAUCUAGAUAUUGAGGAAUUACUAAAGAAGAAGAAGAAGAAGAAGAAGAAGAAGGAGAAGAAGAAGAAAAAGAAGAAAACAUAUAAAAAUAUAAAAAUAUAAAGAUUCAUUUUUUAAAAAAAUUAUGAAAACAAACUUGCUUUGAAAAUUUGCAACAAGAAGAAGAAGAAGAAGAAGAAGAAAAUUUUAAUGGAAAAAGAAGAAAAACAUAUAAAAUAUAAAAUAUAAAGAUUUAUCUUUUAGAGAAAUUAUGAAAAAUGAACUUACUCUAAAAAUCUACCUAGAUGUUAGAGAUUUUUAAAAAAAUUCAUAAAAAUGAAACCCUAAACCCUAGGCAAAAUCCAAAACCUUAAUAUGAAACCCUAAAAAUGAAACCCUAAAAUGAAAUCUUAAAAAGAAAAUCCUAAAACUAAAACCCCAAAGUCAUAGUGGAAACCCUAAAUAAAACCUUGAAACCUUAAAUAUACCCAAAACCUCAAAACAAUUUUAAAUUUUUAAAGAUUUGUAUAAAAUUUUUUUGUGAAAUAAUUUGUUCCCAAAUGCUACCUAGAAGUUGAGGUAUUUAGGAAAUUUUAUUUUAUUAAGAUUUUUCAUAGAAUUCCAUAAUCAAAACAAUAAUAAGAUUAAAUAAAAAAUAAUAAGAUUAGAUAAAAAUAAUAAAAUAAAAAAUAAAAAUGAGAUCUUAAAUAUAAAUAAUCACACCUAAACUCUACUUAGAAGUUGGGGAGUUCUAGUGGUCCUUUUUUAUUUAAGAACCCGAUUCUAAAUUUGCAUCCCAUCAUCACAUAAGACACACAUUUGCAUAUAUCCAUUUUUAAAUCAUUGUUUAUACUCAUUAUGCAUAUAUAUUUUAAUUAUUGAUGUUUAUUGUUAAUUAUAGCAUCAUUCAUUUUUACAUAAAAGGUUUUUUGAAAAAUUAAUUUAAAAAAAUAAAAUUAAUAAAAUUAAAAUAAGAUUAUAAGAAAAUUAAUUUUUGAUACUUUGCCUAAAUGUUGGAGAGUUGUCAACAAUUAUUAUUUGCAAAAAAUAUUAUUUUAUUUUUAAAAGGGAUGUUGUGGUGAAUCUUCGACAAAAAGGAUUAUCUUUGAAUUCUACCUAUAUGUUAGAAAAUUAUAAGGUAUUCCAAUAAUCUAAAGAUUUUCACAAUAUUUCUAAAUAAAGAUUUUUAAUUGAUUUUAUUUCUUAAAAAUGAAGGGAAUUAUUAUUAAAUCUUAAAUUAAAAAAAUCAUUUUUAUCUAAAACUAUAGAUAGCACAUGAUUACUUGGUACCAAUUUUUAUAGGCACCAUCGGGGUGCUAAUCUUUCCCUAUGAAUAACCAACUCUCAGACUCAACCUAUUUUCAUGAACCAAAAUUAUCUUUUUAAUAAACUUUAAACAUGUUUUAUUGUUUUAUUAAAAGAUAAAAUUUUUAGGUGGCCAAUCACACUCUAAAAAAAUAUUGGUGGUAACUUCUUUUUUUUAUUUCAAAAUUUUUACAUCUAGCGACUAAGUCUCUAGACCACUACGUUAUGACAAUAUGCAACUCAAUUAUUAUUAUUAUUGUUGAAAGAGAACUUAAAUCCUCAUCUUAUAUCCAGAAUAAGUUAUUUAAGGAAACUUUUUCUGCAUCAAAAGUUUGAUAAAUGCAUAUUUACAAUCACCAUUCUUUUUUAUAAGCUCAUUUAAGCAUACUUUUAAGAUAUAAACAGAGACAUUCAUUUAUAGAUAAUUCAAAUUAAUAGAAGUUUUCAUUUAAGCAUACUUUUAAGAUAUAAACAGAGACAUUCAUUUAUAGAUAAUUCAAAUUAAUAGAAGUUUUCAUUCAUUCCAAAAAUUUUAAGUUCUAUACAUCAUGAACCUUUCUAAAACUAGAACUAUAAAAGUGCUGAACUUACUCAUAUUGCCUCUUUGGCUCAUCUAAGGAAUCCAAAACUAUGACUGCUAGUAGGAACUAAUCCUUGCCUUAAAGACUCUUUCUUUUCCAUCAUCACUUUGGCAUAUUUGACUGACUUUCGAAUUUGAAUACUAAGGUGGUCAAUAUGCAUUUAUCUCUUGAUUGCACAUUUGUUUUCAUUUGACCUCAUUUUCUUACCAUUCUUUAUGUAGAAAGGUGAUACGGUCUUUGUUUUCUUACAACUAUAGUUCCAAGACUUUAAUCAUUAUACCGAGUGCAUCAUUUUCCCCUUUAGUAUCCAAAUAUCUCUUCUUUUUAUUUCUUAAUUCCUCAUUCAGUUCUUCAUUAUCUUUUUAACUCUUACUUAACUCCCUUUUAUUUGCAGUGAGGGUUUUGUACGAAUCUUUCUUUUCUUGUAUUGUCACAGUAAUCUUGUCCUCGUUAUUAUGAGCCUUCAUAUCUAGAAUCGUACCUCUUCCUUGAGCUACUUUACCUUUUCUUGGUAUUUACAUUUCUUUCUUUUAUCCUUUAGUUGAGACCUUAGUCGUUGGUUUUUUAAGUGUAGUUCCUUAAGAUCACUCCAAGCUAAGUCCCUCUCUUUAGUUAUUUUUUCUAGCUUAUCCCUUGUUGUGCCUUCCUCAUACUUCAAUUAACAUAUAUCUUCUUACAAUUUCUAAUUUUCUUUGUUUAGUUUCUCCAUGUCUUCUUCAAACUCCAACCUAGCAAUUUUUAAUUCUAAUGGUGAUGGCUUGGCCUAUGGAUCAACUGGCUAGACAAUGGUAGCACCAAAUCAUUAACUUCUUAGCCCCAAACUAGAUAUCUCAGGGUCACAUCAUCUUUAUAUUUACCCAAUUUUGAUCGGAAUGUCUACCCCCAAGCCGUUGUAAUAUUACACAUUCUAGCUAUACAACCUUUUAUACCAUAGUAAACUUUAUCUGAUCUAGCUUUUAAAUUAUUGAAACCAACUACUGAGACCCAAAUAGUCUUAUAACCAUCAACGAUGCAUACCUAGUGUCUCUCUAAAUACCAAGUAGUGAAACCCAAGGCUAAUUUUCAUAACUAUACAAGAUCAGACAAAAAGCAUCUACUAUGCUUUCUAAGUCACCUUAUCCCUUUUUAAGCUUAAAAAAAAUACCAUCCACUACUCUUUAGAAUAACUUUUAAACCAUAUUUUUGCAUUAAACUCGGCCAAAGGCACUAAGGGCUUUGUAUAAAGAAAUAGUAAAAUUUAGUUGAAGCCCCAAAAAGAUUUUGAAUCUAUACAUAUAGCAAUUGAACACAACCAAUCAUCCUUCCCUUUCCCUUCCAUCAUUAAUGGUUCAAUGAUCUAAUGGUUUUCACCAAGAUAGUUGGUCAAGGGUUAAUCUUUUACUCUAGCUGUAUGAAAAAGUUAACCAUGAAAGCUUUUAUAUACCUUAAAGCUUUUAAAAAGAUCACCAAACCAUAAAUCACCAAUGCAAACAUAUCUAUAACCCGAUCUUCAAUAGAACUUUAAAGCAUAACAUCUCGUAAAAAAACCCACGAUAUCUCUUUGCUAGCCCCUUUCAUCUUUUUUAUCACCUGAACUUUAACCCCAAUAAUCUUUGCUAACUUUAUUGCAGCCUACAACAUCUAAUAAUUAGGUUUCACCAUCAAUAACAAAAUAGUAUCUCCAUACUUAGCUAUGAAAAUGGUCUUCUUUUUUGGGUCCCAUUGACUCCAAAUACAUUCCAUAUCCAUAAUAUUAUUUCUCGUUAAGUCUACAUAUACAAUCUCCAAAAGACUCGCAACAUACCUAUCCACCAAACAGUCUUCCUUUAUAUGUUGUUUAUUCUCAAACUGAUCCUUAACCUCUUAAAAUGAUUUAUUUACUGAGGAUCUUAGUUGUGGUUUUUGGAAUGCCAUGAAAACUUCUAUCAAUGAAUUAUCUAUAAUGUAUAUCUUUUAUACCUUAUGCCAAGAAUGAUGUAUGAAACAAACAAGGAAAAAAAAACACAAAAAACAUAAAAAAAUUAGUCAAUAAAGAAAAAAAAUGCAAAAUACAAGGUAAAAGAAAAUUUCACACACAUUUUUAUUAAUCAAUUUUUUAAGCCUUUUUUUAUUUUUUUCCAUUUCUUCCCCUUUUUCUCUUUCUUUUAUUUUUUCUUUCCUCUUUUUUUUUUGUUUUACUUUCUUUUUUUCCACCUUUUUUAUAUUUUUCCUUUAUUUAUUUAUUUUUGUUUGUAAAGAAUUAUAAUUCUUAAUGACUUUUUUUUUAUUAAAAGCAAUAAUUCAAAUUAUCAAACUAACAGAAAAGCAAAUGAAAAAGGUAAGGAAUGUUCCUUCAUGUAACUUAUUUAGGGUCAAUUUCUAUAGAGAGGAUGGGCAUGGCUUUACCUAAGGCUGGCUCCUUAAAACUCACUAUAUGCUGGGUUACAAAUUGACGCAUCUAAAAGUUCUCAAAUUGUUUCUCACAUUAUCAUUCAUCAUAAACUAAUGAAGCAUCCUAAUCUUCUCCAAUUACAGGCUAUGAGCAAAAAAAGUUUAAUCCGAGUUGAAGUGUUUCAUUAGUCAUUAUGAAGGUUUAUAUCUCUCAAAAGUAUAGCUACUUUACUUUCUCCUAAAUAGGGUUAAAGCCCUGGUAUAAAGUUUAUGCAUGUAAUGCAAAUGUGAAGUGUGUACGAAGGAACAAGCAAACCUUUCACACUUUUCUAAAAUACCCUUAUCCUAGAUAUCCCACAAUUAUUAAAAACAUAAUAAAUAACGACAAUUUAAAAUAAAUAACAUAAUUAAAAUAUGCAUGAAAUGUAAAACACACGCACCUCUUUUUUUUCUUGAAUUUUUUGGAGAUAAGGAAAUUAAAAUCAAAACAUUUUUUUAAUUUUUAAAACUUUUUCACUUUUUAAGAAAACAAGAAAAUUAAAAUCAAGGAAUUAAGAUUAAAUAUUAAUUAGGACCAUUAAACCAAAAUUUAGGAUAACAUGCAAUCAACCUUUGGCUCAACUUUCUAAAAAUUACGUCUCCAGUAGAGUCAUCAAGCUAUCACGAUGUAUGAGCCUGAGAAACCUGAUCACAAAACAUAGGGGGAAUUUGGAAAAUGAGGUGCUAAAAAGCAUUUUUUUUAUUAAAAAAAUAAAAAGAAAGAGUUGCCACUACUCUUUUUUAGGGUGUGAUUAGCCACCUAAAAUUUUGUGUCCUUUUAAUAUAACAUUUAAAAUAUUUAAAAGUUUUAUAAAAAGAACAAAUUGAGGUUUGAAAAAAUUAGAUUUUGUUAGAGAUGUUUAUGCGAGGAGAGGGAUUAGCAUCCCUACAGUGCCCAUUAAAGAUAAUACUAAUUAACUGCAUGUUAUGUUUAAAGUUUGAUAAAAAUAGUCCUAUUCUAAUGUUUAAGAUUAAUUCAUUUUUUUAUAUUUAAAAAAACAAAUUUUUUUUUGUUUUGAAAGGCAAAGCAUUUUCUUAUUUUCUUUUUCUUGAAAAGCAAAACAUUUUGUUUUUGGAUCAAAAUGAAAAUUUCUCAAGUAUCAAUGUAUCUUUUUCAUUCUCCUAUAUUUAGGUAUAGCUUUAAAAAUAUUUUUAACUUAGAGAUUUUUAAUCUAUCCCACAAAACUAAGAUAAUACUUCACAUAAAUGAUAACCAUCAAGAGUUUUCCUAUGUUUAGGUCAAAUCUCAAAAGUUAUUUUUACUUAAGAUGUCAUCUUAUUUAAAAACAUCUUUCUUUCAAAACUCAUUUUUGAAAAUAUAUGCAUGGUAUGUAUGAUUGAUGUAUAACAAUUUAGUAUGAAUAAUAAAAUAUGAAUGCAUGGUAAUUUAAAAAUGCAUGCAACAAUAAAGUAAAAUGAAAUGCAAAUGUAUGAAUUGGAUUAAGGGUUGAUUUUAGCAUUUAAGGAUUGGUUCAAGUUUUAGGGUUUAUGGUAGGUUUAGGGUCUGGGAAAUGAUUUUGGGAUUUGGUUUAAGAUUUGGGUUAGUUUGGGGUCUAGGUUAGGGUUCAAGGUUUAGGGUUUGGUUCAAGGUUUAGGGUUUUAUUUAGGGUUUAAGGUUUACGGUUUACGGUUUAUGGUUUAAGGUUUAAGAUUAGGGUUUAAGGUUUAAGGUUUAGGGUUUAUGUUUUGGGUUUUGGGUUUAAAGUUAUGGUUAGGGUUUAGGGGUAAGGUUUUAAGUUUAGGGUGAGGUUUAGGGUUUUAUGGGUAGUUUAGGCUUUCAUGGAAAAUCCAUGUGACAAAAAUAAAUAACAAAGAUACCAUUGGUAAAUAUAUAAAUAUUGAUGCAUGAAAAAUACAUGACUAUGGAACAAACUUAUUAUAAAUCUAAGCAUUUCUAAAACUAUAUUACAAAUAAAAUGUGCAUGUAAAAAAUGAUGAAAAUUGAUCAAACAUUGAGAUUUUUUAAAAAAAUUUCCAAGGCAUGUUUCAGCAUUUUUUUUUCCUUGAAAUCAUACUAAUAAAUAUUAAAAUCACAAAACAAAAGUCCACUAAACUAACAUUUAUUCAUGAAAAAUUUAAUCAAGCACAUUGAAAAAUUGAAGAACCAUGCAAGAACACAAACAUUUAAAGAAGAAUUAGGCAAUAUUUGCCUAUGAUGCAAAGAAGGAAGGUUCGACCAAAGUAUAGAAAAGCUUGGUUGAAAAUUCUCAUGCUUUCUCCCAAUCAUUUUUUCAUUGUACUUAGCUCAAUCAUGCAUUAAACAUCAAAAUAAUCAUUUUAUGAAGGCAUCUACAUCAUGAGAGAAAUUUUAUCAAAUAAGAGUUUGGAUUGGAACUAGAAAGACCAAGCAAAAAAAAAAAGUAAUCUACCUUUGUUAGCCUUUGGAAGGUUCGACCUAGCUCUAAUUUUUCAUGGCCGAACCUUUUCUUAGCCAUUUUUAGCUGUUUUCUUACUUCUAAUAAUGUUGAUGAGUGAUUUGAAAAGUUUUUUUUCC